CUACGGGUUGCUCCAGUGAGGAAUAUUGCACAAUGGGGGGAACCCUGAUGCAGCAACGCCGCGUGGAGGAUGACGCAUUUCGGUGUGUAAACUCCUUUUAUAUGUCAAGAAAAUGACGGUAGCAUAUGAAUAAGCACCGGCUAGCUCCGUGCCAGCAGCCGCGGUAAUACGGAGGGUGCAAGCGUUACUCGGAAUCACUGGGCGUAAAGGACGCGUAGGCGGGUUGGAAAGUCAGGUGUGAAAUCCUACAGCUUAACUGUAGAACUCCACUUGAAACUUCUAAUCUAGAGUAUGGGAGGGGGAGAUGGAAUUAGUGGUGUAGGGGUAAAAUCCGUAGAUAUCACUAGGAAUACCUAAAGCGAAGGCGAUCUCCUGGAACAUUACUGACGCUAAGGCGUGAAAGCGUGGGGAGCAAACAGGAUUAGAUACCCGGGUAGUC
rnacentral:rRNA from 1 species